GUGCCAGCCGCCGCGGUAAUACGGAGGGUGCAAGCGUUGUCCGGAAUCACUGGGUGUAAAGGGUGUGCAGGCGGGGCAGCAAGUCGGAUGUGAAACCCCAUGGCUUAACCAUGGAGGUGCAUUCGAAACUGUUGGUCUUGAGUCCCGGAGAGGCGGGCGGAAUUCGUGGUGUAGCGGUGAAAUGCGUAGAUAUCACGAGGAACACCAGAGGCGAAAGCGGACAGCUGGACGGGUACUGACGCUCAGGCACGAAAGCGUGGGGGGCGAACAGGAUUAGAAACCCGUGUAGUCC
rnacentral:rRNA from 1 species